AUGUAUUGCCUAUUGAGUAGACCCUAUGCAUUUGGUUGUGUUCUCAAGAUGAGAACAUCGCAAGGUUUUGAUCCUGGCCACUCUUAUGGCCAUUUCUUCCUUGAUCCUCAAUAUGAAAAUGUGCAACAUAUUAACUGCUGUGAGUCAAUUCAGAUUAUCAUAGAUGUUACACAAAAAUACAUGAGUUCAUGGGGGAGCACGUCAACAAGGCUGCUGCAUGAGUUCAUGUCGUCGGCAGUGGCUCGCUCGUCAACAAGGCUGAUGAAAUCAGGGGGAGCACGAGCGGGUGCCAAAGGUGUCCGAUCGAACUCAGUUGGAGGUCAAACAGGUUCAUCUCUCGGGCAUGCCACCAAUAACGCUCGAUGA
rnacentral:rRNA from 1 species